AGACAGCAUCAUUACAGAACAGAAAAAAAGUCUAGUGGGGCAGGGAUUCUUCUAUCCUUGAAGAGUCCAAAGAGAUAGAACACCCAAGUGCCAACUCUGAAAUCUGAUUAAACCCUGGACGGAUUGAAAAGAUUUGAACAUUUUCAAGAGAAAAGUCAGAGACAAAAGUCGUGUGGGAAAAAUCUCACUACAAAAAAUGUGGUCUCCUGUUUCUGCCCACUUCCUGUUUCCCACGCUAUCUGCUUUCAGUGUAUUUCUUUGCUUAAUCUGGACACCUGAUGUGGAGAUCUCCCAGCACCGGUCUGGGUCUGGACUGUGCGCUCCUCAGGGUUACCGCCCUACAGUUAACUGACUUUCCCCCACCACCGCCCUGCAAAUUCCUACACCUUCUCUCCCAGAUUCUGCAUCCCAGAUUUUCUGGAU